UGAGAGUUCAAUGAUUAUCGCCAGACUAUUGAUAUAGGAAAUAAAAAUUCUGUAAUUGUUUUCAUUUAAGCUGUACGUAUUGUUGAUGGAUUGAUGAUAGCCAGGGUCAUGAAACAAUUUUAUUGCUCUGAUAAAUUAUGUCUUAUUUACAACAGAGAUCUGGUGGUGCAUACUGAUGUUAUUGUAUGGUAGGCAGCACGUAGAGGCUAUCUCAAUUAUUUAGUUUAUAACAGACCAUCGUAACAUCAUCAGUCAUUUGACUUCGACAUCAUCUUCUGUACAGAAAUAAUAUCUCUCCAGUAUACCUACAGGAAGGAAAGAAAUAUGAAGUUCAGCUACUUAAUAUUUGCAGUUCUUUUAUUCUGCAUGAUGGCAUUCAAUCAUUUUGUUUCUGGGGCCCCCAGGGAUCUGGGCGUAGGAGGAACAGGACACCACGUUCUGUGUAGGCAGCCGCCUUGCGACAUGAGACCCCCCUACGACCGCCAAGACGGGACCAGAUUCUAAGAGAUGGAAUACAGGCCGCGUCUGAAAUCAAAUAAUUUGAUACACAUCUAAAUUCUGCUUUUUAUAAAUCUCAAUAUUAAUAAUGGAGGUUCAACAUCUUUUGUAAUGUAAAUGAAUUAUAUUUUAAUGCACUGACCAACUAUUGUAAACUAUAAAAUAAUAUGAUUGAUUCAUAAAUUAAUUAAUUCAUAAA